rnacentral:rRNA from 1 species
UACGUAGGGGGCAAGCGUUAUCCGGAUUUACUGGGUGUAAAGGGGGCGCAGACGGCAAUGCAAGCCAGGAGUGAAAGCCCGGGGCCCAACCCCGGGACUGCUCUGGGAACUGUCUAGCUAGAGUGCAGGAGGGGUAAGUGGAAUUCCUAGUGUAGCGGUGAAAUGCGUAGAUAUUAGGAGGAACACCAGUGGCGAAGGCGGCUUACUGGACUGUAACUGACGUUGAGGCUCGAAAGCGUGGGGAGCAAACAGG